rnacentral:rRNA from 1 species
UACGAAGGGUGCAAACGUUGCUCGGAAUUAUUGGGCGUAAAGCGCACGUAGGCGGCUUGGCAAGUCGGACGUGAAAUCCCUUGGCUCAAUCAAGGAAGUGCAUCCGAAACUGCUGAGCUUGAGUACGAAAGAGGAUCGCGGAAUUCCCGGUGUAGAGGUGAAAUUCGUAGAUAUCGGGAGGAACACCAGUGGCGAAGGCGGCGAUCUGGGUCGAUACUGACGCUGAGGUGCGAAAGCGUGGGGAGCAAACAGG